ACUGGAGGACUAAUCAGGCUGGGUCUGAAGAGUGAGACUCGGAUGAUAGUAGCCUCCUAAAGGAAAGGGCUGGAGAGAGCAGUCCUGCUUGCAGAAAGCAAAGGGCUGACUGUGCCAUCCGACACCC
rnacentral:snoRNA from 1 species